rnacentral:rRNA from 1 species
GGAAUCUUGGACAAUGGGGGCAACCCUGAUCCAGCCAUGCCGCGUGAGCGAUGAAGGCCUUAGGGUUGUAAAGCUCUUUCAGCGGGGAAGAUAAUGACGGUACCCGCAGAAGACGCCCCGGCGAACUCCGUGCCAGCCGCCGCGGUAAUACGGAGGGGGCUAGCGUUGUUCGGAAUUACUGGGAGUAAAGGGCGCGUAGGCGGGCGCGUAAGUCGGGGGUGAAAUCCCGGGGCUCAACCCCGGAACUGCCUCCGAUACUGGGUGCCUUGAGGACGGGAGAGGUGAGCGGAAUUCCGAGUGUAGAGGUGAAAUUCGUAGAUAUUCGGAGGAACACCGGUGGCGAAGGCGGCUCACUGGCCCGAUCCUGACGCUGAGGCGCGAAAGCGUGGGGAGCAAAC